rnacentral:misc_RNA from 1 species
AUUAAAAGCUCAGAAAGAAAACUGUUUCUGUGUUAACUGCAAAUAAGUCAAAUUCUACGACUUUCGAUUAGUUGUAAUUUUGGAAGUUGUGUCAAACAAUUUAUUUGUUGACUGUUCAUCUAUACUUGGUGUGAAUGAGUGAACUCAAUCAGGAGGAUAAUGAGGAAGAAAAAGAAGAAAUCUGAAGAAACAAACAGAUUGUGUUGAAUCAUGUCCGAAGUUGUGGAAGGGAUGGUUCCCUGGUCCGGGUCCGGGCCCAGGUUAUGAUGAGAGACGAUUCAACGGGCGGAUGGGUACCUCUUGGAGGCGGAGGGCUUUCAAUGGUUGCUGUUCGUAAACGAAAAUUGGCGGAGGAUGACCUUGGCGGAGCCCUGGAACGUGUCACAACCUCAAGCCGAAUUGAAAAUGGCGGAGCGGAAAACUGUGAAGGAUACUGUCUCUACGAAUACUUGAUAAUAGGGAGACGAAUAUCUGAUGAUCACGACGUGCUUAGUUGUACCAUCAAGCGGGACUUUGAGUACAAUAGGGUUAUGCCAACCUUCCAUCACUGGAGAACAGGAAACAAAAAGUUUGGUUUAACCUUCCAAACUGCUGCAGAUGCGCGCACGUUUGACAAGGGAAUUACGCGGGCAGUUGAAGAUUUAAUGGACGAAAAUACUGUUGCAUGUAUUCAUAAACCAGCCCCUGAACCAGACUUUAAUUCAGACCCGUCUAAAGAUUACGAUGACAUCCAGACGAAAAAAGAAGGAGAACUAGGCGAGUACACCCCCCUGCAAAUCAAUAUGGAUGUGGGGGAGGGGGUGGAGGGGGAGGUCUUCAUGAUGCUUGAUCUUCCUUUAGAGAGAGAUUCCCAACCCAGCUCUCCUAGGUCCCCGCCGCCACGAGUUACAUCGCCGCCGCCGACAUCUCCUCACAGUGUUCGAUCCCGUGGUACACCAAGCUCUUCUAGUCCUUUAUAUCAGGAUACACCUAUACUUAACCAGUUAAACUCCCAGAGGCUUCAUCCUUUAACCCGUUCUAAUACAGUUGGGGGGCACACCAGGGGUUCCAUAAGGGGGUCUGGGCUCCCCCCUGGUGCCCCCCGCCCCCCUGGAGACAAUAUUUACGAGUGGUUGCACUCCUCUGAGCAGCAGCCACUCUCUAGAACCAAUAACAGUGCACUCAGUGUUAAAAGUGAUAAGUAUAUUGUGAUAUCGGGCCCGGCUGGUCGGGGGCUCUAUAGUCCUGAUCCGGGGCCGUAUAGUCCGGAUAGGGGACAUUAUAGCCCCAGCCGGAUUCCUUAUAGCCCGGAUAGAGGGCAUUAUAGCCCGGAUAGAGCGCCGUAUAGUCCUGACAAGGGUGACUAUGGGCCGGGGAAAGAGUGCUUACGGUUGGAUAAUGAUAACUUUAGUGAUACCUAUGUACGCUUCGAUAUCAAGGAUCCAGACCCUCAAUAUCACUACCCUAACCUAGACACACUUUCUAAUAUGGUGCCUGGAAUGGGUAAAAACGGCGGCCGACGAUGUUCCAUAUCAAGCUUAAAGGGGCAGACGGCUGGCCUAGGCCUGGAGGAUACGUUUAGCCCGGGAAAGGAAAAGGAUUGGAAAGGGAAGAAAGGAAAGAAAGAAAAGAAAGGUGGAUGUCGUCUCCAUUAUGAAAGAUGUGCCCACUGUCAGGAACUCUAUUCAGAGAGCGAAAAUAAGAAAGGGUCUUGCAGCUAUUCUCCGGAUAGAGUUAGACAGUGUAUCGACUGUGUAUCCUGUCUGGCGUGUGCUAAAUGUCUGUUGUACCAUUGUCAUUAUGAAGAUGAAAACUUCAGUGAGGAAGAGAUUUGCACUUGCACCGACACAGACGGUCAUUUAGCAAAACGAUGGCUUGGUCUAUCCUUGUUGGCCGUGUUGGUUCCCUGUCUCUGCCUGUAUCCUAUGUUGACCGCCUGCUAUUCCUGUGGCCGGGCCUGCCAUGCCUGCGGUGGAAAACACGUGCCUGUUUAAGAAACCCCGCGAAUAAAAUUCAAAAUGGCGGAGCAAAAAAUGAAAAUCCUCCAAAUAUCUUAUUAGACUGAAAUUAUGGAAACAAUCAUUUUAAAAAGUUGGCGCUAGUUUUGCAAAUUUGCAAAUCUAGGCCUGACUUGUGUAUUUAAUCAAGACUUUUGUUGACUGUAUUGUUAACCAAAUAUUUUUUUUUGGUUUGCUUAAAGUAAAUCAUAUUCUCGACAUUCAAGGUCGGCAAUCUUAAAAUAAUGUCAGAAUUGAAACAAUAAUCAUUUCCACAUCUGUUACAGAAAUCGUUCGUGCGUUAAAUCGUGCCGAAUUAUCAUCGUAAAACCGCGAGCAGCUAUUAGUGUGCCUGUCAGCGCCAAAAAUUUAGUUUCAAUCUUUUUUAGAUUAUUAGUCAAUAAUUGUUGCAUAUACCAGUCACUCUAUAUUUGUAUCGCACAUUUAUUCCCAAAUUUACAUUUCUUGUUUCAAUGAAUACUUCUGCUAAAAAUUUUAUAGAAAACUUGUUUGCAUAUAUUUUCAAAUUUUGUUUGUUCUGCCUGCAAAACCAGUAAAAUAUUAAAAUGCUUCUGUAAACAUAAAUUUGAAAAUUUAUUUAUUUUUUACGUGACAAGCCGAAGAGAAGCAUUUUGCAUCAUGCUUAACUAAGAUUUUUUGUAUUUCGGCUGCUUAAAGUCUUGAAGAGCUUUCCUAACAGAACACUCAGACUGAGUGUUUUAAAUACUUUUCAGUGGAUUUUCUAUAUCUAUUUUUUCCUGUUUAACACAAUCAAAUAUUUUGGGUUCUUCUAAAUUUUCACAUUUUCGGCCACCAUGGUCGAUUUUCUUUAUUAUACAUUUAUAUAUAUGUUACGAUAAAUAUCUCAUUUUACUGUUUGAUAAAUGCGAAAAAUUAUUGUUUUGCUUGUUUUUCACUGUAAAGUUUUUUGACUAACCAUGUUUAACACUUAUUUAUGAAGUAUUGAGAUUGUAGGGUAUCUCUGAAAACAUUUUAAUUUUGUUGUUACUUUAUAUAAGACUUAUUUCUUUCAGUUUGGUAUGCCCUUCUGUCUUUCUCUAAAAUAAUAUUUUGAUAAUGUAGCUUUUAUUUCGCCUUUAUUUGGAGCAGAAGCUCUAAAUGAAUUUUGUUUGCUGUGUCUCCUUUCUCUCAAAAUGUAGCCCCCCCCCCCCCCUACACGUAUACUAAAGAUUAUAUUAAUGUGAUAUUUCGCCGUAGAAGGAAUAAUAUGUAUUUUAUUUC